GUGGGGAAUAUUGGACAAUGGGGGGAACCCUGAUCCAGCCAUGCCGCGUGUGUGAAGAAGGCCUUUUGGUUGUAAAGCACUUUAAGCGAGGAGGAGGCUACCGAGAUUAAUACUCUUGGAUAGUGGACGUUACUCGCAGAAUAAGCACCGGCUAACUCUGUGCCAGCAGCCGCGGUAAUACAGAGGGUGCAAGCGUUAAUCGGAUUUACUGGGCGUAAAGCGCGCGUAGGUGGCCAAUUAAGUCAAAUGUGAAAUCCCCGAGCUUAACGUGGGAAUUGCAUUCGAUACUGGUUGGCUAGAGUAUGGGAGAGGAUGGUAGAAUUCCAGGUGUAGCGGUGAAAUGCGUAGAGAUCUGGAGGAAUACCGAUGGCGAAGGCAGCCAUCUGGCCUAAUACUGACACUGAGGUGCGAAAGCAUGGGGAGCAAACAGGAUUAGAAACCCGGGUAGUCC
rnacentral:rRNA from 1 species